rnacentral:rRNA from 1 species
UACGUAGGGUGCAAGCGUUGUCCGGAAUUAUUGGGCGUAAAGAGCUCGUAGGCGGCUUGUCGCGUCGACCGUGAAAACUUGGGGCUCAACCCCAAGCCUGCGGUCGAUACGGGCAGGCUCGAGUUCGGUAGGGGAGACUGGAAUUCCUGGUGUAGCGGUGAAAUGCGCAGAUAUCAGGAGGAACACCAAUUGCGAAGGCAGCUCGCUGGGACGUUACUGACACUGAUGCGCGACAGCGUGGGGAGCAAACAGG